CUCGCCGCGGGAAUACAGAGGGUGCGAGCGUUAAUCGGAUUUACUGGGCGUAAAGCGUGCGUAGGCGGCUUUUUAAGUCGGAUGUGAAAUCCCCGAGCUUAACUUGGGAAUUGCAUUCGAUACUGGGAAGCUAGAGUAUGGGAGAGGAUGGUAGAAUUCCAGGUGUAGCGGUGAAAUGCGUAGAGAUCUGGAGGAAUACCGAUGGCGAAGGCAGCCAUCUGGCCCAAUACUGACGCUGAGGUACGAAAGCAUGGGGAGCAAACAGGAUUAGAUACCCCCGUAGUCCCUGUCUCUUAUACAC
rnacentral:rRNA from 1 species